rnacentral:rRNA from 1 species
UACGUAGGGUCCGAGCGUUGUCCGGAAUUAUUGGGCGUAAAGAGCUCGUAGGUGGCUUGUCGCGUCUGCCGUGAAAGCCCGUGGCUUAACUACGGGUCUGCGGUGGAUACGGGCAGACUAGAGGUAGGCAGGGGAGAGUCGGAAUCCUGGUGUAGCGGUGAAAUGCGCAGAUAUCAGGAAGAACACCCGUGGCGAAGGCGGCUCUCUGGGACGGUACUGACGCUGAGACGCGAAAGCGUGGGAGCGAACAGG